rnacentral:miRNA from 1 species
UAUUAGUGUGUGUGUGUGUGUGUGUGUGUGCACAUGCACGCGCGCGCGCGCGCGCACACACACGCAC